AUACGGAGGAUGCGAGCGUUAUCCGGAUUUAUUGGGUUUAAAGGGUGCGUAGGCUGUGCGUUAAGUCAGGGGUGAAAUGCCGUCGCUCAACGACGGAGCUGCCCUUGAUACUGGCGUGCUGGAGUACGGAUGCCGUUGGAGGAAUGAGUGGCGUAGCGGUGAAAUGCUUAGAUAUCACUCAGAACACCGAUUGCGAAGGCAUCUGACGAAUCCGUCACUGACGCUGAGGCACGAAAGCGUGGGGAUAGAACAGGAUUAGAUACCCUGGUAUUCCACGCCGUAAACGAUGAUGACUAACCGUCGGCGAUAGACAGCCGGUGGCCAAGCGAAAGCGAUAAGUCAUCCACCUGGGGAGUACGUCGGCAACGAUGAAACUCAAAUGAAUUGACGGGG
rnacentral:rRNA from 1 species